UUGUUACUGAAAGGAGAGAAGAUUAGCACUCCCCUUGACAAGAAUGGAAGAGGCUUUAGCCUGCAACACACAUAUAAUUAAGGCACUUCCUCCUAUUUUGUGACAUCUAACCAGUGUUAUCA